rfam:Populus trichocarpa isolate Nisqually-1 chromosome 12, whole genome shotgun sequence.
CUUUUUAGAGAUAAACGUCAACAUUUAGACGAGUCUCCUAAUUUUAGAAACUGAUGUCAUUUUCUUUACAUGUCUCCUAUUUUUAGGGAUU